rnacentral:lncRNA from 1 species
GCACUGACGUGGUGGCUCUAAUGACGGGAGAGGCUCUAAUGACAGGAGAUUUAGGGACCUCAGUGGCAGCACGUUGUGGUUGUGCUGCUACUGGAGAACGUGGUGAAGGAGCCUUUGGUGGCGAAACAACAGAUUGAGGAGGAGCAACAGGUGAUCUUGGUGGUGAAGUUGCCGCAGGUUGACGCCUCCGUGGUGAAAUGGGGCUACCUGGGACUGACACUUGUGGUUGCGGUGGUGCAGUAACUACUGCAACAGGAGGUGCAGUAACUACUGCAACAGGAGGAGCAGUAGGCACUGGAGGUUGAGGGGGCUGACGAGCAGUAACUGCUGGUGAGGCAGGCCUAAAUGGGGUGGUAGGUCGAAACAUCGGUUGUGGGGAUGGUGCUGGUGGAGCAGAAGCUGGAGGAGGUUGUGCAGGUUGUGCAGCAGGACGGACCAUGGAAGCAAAACGGAACAAUGGACGAGGUGGUUGUUGGCUAGCCA